GCAGAGUGUCCACUGGGGGCAGCCAUCCCACCAAGGGAGUGGCCAGCAGGGUUCCGGUUCUGUCAUCUUGCCUACCAACACACUGAGGAACGCAUGAAAACCUUUGAACAUCCUGCAAAGAGCGUCAACUCCGAGGCGUUAACAUUUAAUCAGGCAGGUUACAAGCUGCAAGCAGAUGGAAAAAUGGAAUCACUGUGUAUUAAAGUGAUUUGCCCAGCUGAGAGAGAUGGUGCCAGGAAUACAAUCGAGGAAUAAUACAGAGAAUACAGACAGAAAAAGUGGGAGACACGUGUAAGCAUGAGCCCCAAUACUUUGAAAGUCAAUGGGAAGACUUCCAUUGAUCAGGUCCUACAAGCUAUAAUAGUUAUCUCUAAGUUUGAAUUACUAGCUAUUCAUGAAAAAUGA